rnacentral:lncRNA from 1 species
CUUGCAUAUCAGAAUUUUUGGCUUUCUCGGCCGUGUCUCCUUCUGCAGGCACAUGACCCUCAAGUCCCUGUUUUAUCUACACCCAGUUCCCAGGAAGCACCUAGUCUAUUAUGGGAACUGGUGAGUGUGAUGCCAAAUGGAUGAGCUCUCCAAGCAGCAGAGACCAGUCAGGUCUCGGACAGAUUCAAAGCCAGCACCCUCCCGCCUCCAACAGAUCUGAGGGGAACCCCUUCUUGUGGCUCCAGCUCCAGACUGAGCAGCUGUGUACCAGGAAAGGACAUUCAGAGCAAGGUAAUAAAAAAGUUCCCAAGAUGGGGAGCAGUUAGCGGCGUGUGACCGUACCCGCUGCAUUUCCAGUUUCUGGAAGACUCCGGGCCCGG